rnacentral:rRNA from 1 species
UACGUAGGGUGCGAGCGUUGUCCGGAAUUAUUGGGCGUAAAGGGCUCGUAGGCGGUUUGUCGCGUCGGGAGUGAAAACCUCGGGCUUAACUCGGGGCUUGCUUUCGAUACGGGCAGACUGGAGGUAUGCAGGGGAGAACGGAAUUCCUGGUGUAGCGGUGAAAUGCGCAGAUAUCAGGAGGAACACCGGUGGCGAAGGCAGCUCGCUGGGACGGUACUGACGCUGAGGUGCGAAAGCGUGGGGAGCGAACAGG